UACAGAGACCUCAAGCGUUAUCCGGAUUUAUUGGGCGUAAAGCGUGCGCAGGCUGUUUGUUAAGUCGAUGGUCAAAUCCCGGAGCUCAACUCCGGAACUGCCAUCGAAACUGACAGACUAGAGGCUGGAAGAGGUAAGUGGAAUUGCCGGUGUAGGGGUAAAAUCCGUUGAUAUCGGCAGGAACACCAAAUGCGAAGGCAACUUACUGGGACAGUUCUGACGCUGUUGCACGAAAGCGUGGGGAGCAAAGAGG
rnacentral:misc_RNA from 1 species